AUGGUCAAUGUACCUAAAACUUGAAGAACUUUCUGUAAGAAGUGUGGGAGGCAUCAACCUCACAACGUGACCCAGUAUAAGAAGGGCAAGGAUUCCCUGUAUGCCCAGGGAAAGAGGUGCUAUGAUCGGAAGCAGAGUGGCUAUGGUGGGCAAACAAAGCCAAUUUUCCGGAAGAAGGCUAAAACCACAAAGAAGAUUGUGCUAAGGCUGGAAUGUGUUGAGCCUAACUGCAGAUCCAAGAGGAUGCUGGCCAUUAAGAGAUGCAAGCAUUUUGAACUGGGAGGAGAUAAGAAAAGAAAAGGCCAAGUGAUCCAGUUCUAAACUUUGGGACUCUUUUUGUCCUUUAAUCUUGAGGAGAAAAUGUUGAAGCUGUAGAAAAAUUACUUGUAGGGAAAUAAAUACAAUGAUAUUAAAAAAAA